GACUAACGCUGGCGGCGUGCUUAACACAUGCAAGUCGAACGCUGAAGCACCAGCUUGCUGGUGUGGAUGAGUGGCGAACGGGUGAGUAAUACGUGAGUAACCUGCCCUUGACUCUGGGAUAAGCCCGGGAAACUGGGUCUAAUACUGGAUGCUACAUGUCACCGCAUGGUGGUGUGUGGAAAGGGUUUACUGGUCUUGGAUGGGCUCACGGCCUAUCAGCUUGUUGGUGAGGUAAUGGCUCACCAAGGCGACGACGGGUAGCCGGCCUGAGAGGGUGACCGGCCACACUGGGACUGAGACACGGCCCAGACUCCUACGGGAGGCAGCAGUGGGGAAUAUUGCACAAUGGGCGAAAGCCUGAUGCAGCGGCGCCGCGUGAGGGAUGACGGCCUUCGGGUUGUAAACCUCUUUCAGCAGGGAAGAAGCCACAAGUGACGGUACCUGCAGAAGAAGCGCCGGCUAACUACGUG
rnacentral:rRNA from 1 species